CCUACGGGGGGCUGCAGUAACGAAUCUUCCGCAAUGCACGAAAGUGUGACGGAGCGACGCCGCGUGUGGGACGAAGCCCUUCGGGGUGUAAACCACUGUCAGGGGAUAGAAAGUUCUGAUCAUCCCCAGAGGAAGGCACGGCUAACUCUGUGCCAGCAGCCGCGGUAAGACAGAGGUGCCAAGCGUUAGGCGGAAUCACUGGGCUUAAAGCGUGUGUAGGCGGAGGCGUAAGUACCUUGUGAAAUCCCACGGCUCAACCGUGGAACUGCUUGGUAUACUGCGUCUCUUGAGCCAACUAGGGGCUAUCGGAACAAGUGGUGGAGCGGUGAAAUGCGUAGAUAUCACUUGGAACGCCAAUGGUGAAAACAGAUAGCUGGGGUUGUGCUGACGCUGAGACACGAAAGCCAGGGGAGCAAACGGGAUUAGAUACCCUUGUAGUC
rnacentral:rRNA from 1 species